rnacentral:rRNA from 1 species
GUUAAGUGACUAAGCGUACACGGUGGAUGCCUGGGCAGUCAGAGGCGAUGAAGGACGUACUAACUUGCGAUAAGCGCAGAUAAGGCAGUAAGAGCCGUUUGAGUCUGCGAUUUCCGAAUGGGGAAACCCAACUGCAUAAGCAGUUACUGUUAACUGAAUACAUAGGUUAACAGAGCAAACCGGGGGAACUGAAACAUCUAAGUACCCCGAGGAGAAGAAAUCAACCGAGAUUCCGGUAGUAGCGGCGAGCGAACCUGGAUUAGCCCUUAAGCACUCGGUGAAGUAGGUGAACAAGCUGGAAAGCUUGGCGAUACAGGGUGAUAGCCCCGUAACCGACGCUUCAUCGAGCGUGAAAUCGAGUAGGGCGGGACACGUGAUAUCCUGUCUGAAUAUGGGGGGACCAUCCUCCAAGGCUAAAUACUCCUGACUGACCGAUAGUGAACCAGUACCGUGAGGGAAAGGCGAAAAGAACCCCUGUGAGGGGAGUGAAAUAGAACCUGAAACCGUGUACGUACAAGCAGUAGGAGCACCUUCGUGGUGUGACUGCGUACCUUUUGUAUAAUGGGUCAGCGACUUAUAUUCAGUGGCAAGGUUAACCGUAUAGGGGAGCCGUAGCGAAAGCGAGUCUUAACUGGGCGCUCAGUCUCUGGAUAUAGACCCGAAACCGGGUGAUCUAGCCAUGGGCAGGUUGAAGGUUGAGUAACAUCAACUGGAGGACCGAACCGACUAAUGUUGAAAAAUUAGCGGAUGACUUGUGGCUAGGGGUGAAAGGCCAAUCAAACUCGGAGAUAGCUGGUUCUCCCCGAAAGCUAUUUAGGUAGCGCCUCGGACGAAUACUACUGGGGGUAGAGCACUGUUAAGGCUAGGGGGUCAUCCCGACUUACCAACCCUUUGCAAACUCCGAAUACCAGUAAGUACUAUCCGGGAGACACACGGCGGGUGCUAACGUCCGUCGUGGAGAGGGAAACAACCCAGACCGCCAGCUAAGGUCCCAAAGUAUUGCUAAGUGGGAAACGAUGUGGGAAGGCUCAGACAGCUAGGAUGUUGGCUUAGAAGCAGCCAUCAUUUAAAGAAAGCGUAAUAGCUCACUAGUCGAGUCGGCCUGCGCGGAAGAUGUAACGGGGCUAAGCAAUACACCGAAGCUGCGGCAAUGUCUUUUAGACAUUGGGUAGGGGAGCGUUCUGUAAGCCGUUGAAGGUGAAUCGUAAGGUUUGCUGGAGGUAUCAGAAGUGCGAAUGCUGACAUGAGUAACGACAAAGGGGGUGAAAAACCUCCUCGCCGGAAGACCAAGGGUUCCUGUCCAACGUUAAUCGGGGCAGGGUGAGUCGACCCCUAAGGUGAGGCCGAAAGGCGUAAUCGAUGGGAAACGGGUUAAUAUUCCCGUACUUCUGACUAUUGCGAUGGGGGGACGGAGAAGGCUAGGUGGGCCAGGCGACGGUUGUCCUGGUUCAAGUGCGUAGGCUUGAGAGUUAGGUAAAUCCGGCUCUCUCUAAGGCUGAGACACGACGUCGAGCUACUACGGUAGUGAAGUCAUUGAUGCCAUGCUUCCAGGAAAAGCCUCUAAGCUUCAGAUAGUCAGGAAUCGUACCCCAAACCGACACAGGUGGUCGGGUAGAGAAUACCAAGGCGCUUGAGAGAACUCGGGUGAAGGAACUAGGCAAAAUGGUACCGUAACUUCGGGAGAAGGUACGCUCUUGAUGGUGAAGUCCCUCGCGGAUGGAGCUGACGAGAGUCGCAGAUACCAGGUGGCUGCAACUGUUUAUUAAAAACACAGCACUGUGCAAAAUCGCAAGAUGACGUAUACGGUGUGACGCCUGCCCGGUGCCGGAAGGUUAAUUGAUGGGGUUAGCGCAAGCGAAGCUCUUGAUCGAAGCCCCGGUAAACGGCGGCCGUAACUAUAACGGUCCUAAGGUAGCGAAAUUCCUUGUCGGGUAAGUUCCGACCUGCACGAAUGGCGUAAUGAUGGCCACGCUGUCUCCACCCGAGACUCAGUGAAAUUGAAAUCGCUGUGAAGAUGCAGUGUACCCGCGGCUAGACGGAAAGACCCCGUGAACCUUUACUACAGCUUGGCACUGAACAUUGAACCUACAUGUGUAGGAUAGGUGGGAGGCUAUGAAGACGUGACGCCAGUUGCGUUGGAGCCGUCCUUGAAAUACCACCCUUGUAUGUUUGAUGUUCUAACUUAGACCCAUUAUCUGGGUUGAGGACAGUGCCUGGUGGGUAGUUUGACUGGGGCGGUCUCCUCCCAAAGAGUAACGGAGGAGCACGAAGGUGGGCUAAUCACGGUUGGACAUCGUGAGGUUAGUGCAAUGGCAUAAGCCCGCUUAACUGCGAGAAUGACGGUUCGAGCAGGUGCGAAAGCAGGUCAUAGUGAUCCGGUGGUUCUG